rnacentral:rRNA from 1 species
UACGUAGGGUGCGAGCGUUGUCCGGAAUUAUUGGGCGUAAAGAGCUCGUAGGCGGCUUGUCGCGUCGGCUGUGAAAACCUGGGGCUCAACCCCGGGCCUGCAGCCGAUACGGGCAAGCUAGAAUUCGGUAGGGGAGACUGGAAUUCCUGGUGUAGCGGUGAAAUGCGUAGAGAUCGGGAGGAACACCAGAGGCGAAGGCGGCGACCUGGACAGGUACUGACACUCAACUACGAAAGCGUGGGGAGCAAACAGG